rnacentral:rRNA from 1 species
AGAGUUUGAUCAUGGCUCAGAGCGAACGCUGGCGGCAGGCCUAAUACAUGCAAGUCGAGCGCCCCUUCGGGGGAGCGGCGGACGGGUGAGUAACGCGUGGGAACGUGCCCUUUGGUACGGAACAACUGAGGGAAGCUUCAGCUAAUACCGUAUGUGCCCUAUGGGGGAAAGAUUUAUCGCCAUUGGAGCGGCCCGCGUUAGAUUAGCUAGUUGGUAGGGUAAUGGCCUACCAAGGCGACGAUCUAUAGCUGGUCUGAGAGGAUGAUCAGCCACACUGGGACUGAGACACGGCCCAGACUCCUACGGGAGGCAGCAGUAGGGAAUCUUGCGCAAUGGGCGAAAGCCUGACGCAGCCAUGCCGCGUGAAUGAUGAAGGUCUUAGGAUUGUAAAAUUCUUUCACCGGGGACGAUAAUGACGGUACCCGGAGAAGAAGCCCCGGCUAACUUCGUGCCAGCAGCCGCGGUAAUACGAAGGGGGCUAGCGUUGCUCGGAGUUACUGGGCGUAAAGGGCGCGUAGGCGG